UACAGAGGUCCCGAGCGUUGUUCGGAUUCAUUGGGCGUAAAGGGUGUGUAGGUGGCGCUGUAAGUGGGGUGUGAAAUCCCGGGGCUUAACCCCGGGACUGCAUUCCAUACUGCGGUGCUUGAGGACUGGAGAGGAGACUGGAAUUUACGGUGUAGCAGUGAAAUGCGUAGAGAUCGUAAGGAAGACCAGUGGCGAAGGCGGGUCUCUGGACAGUUCCUGACACUGAGGCACGAAGGCCAGGGGAGCAAACGGG
rnacentral:rRNA from 1 species